AAAACACCCAUCAGAAAUCGUGGAUAAACACUUGUUUAAGGUUGUUAAAAGGUCUCUCAGAUAUUAUUCAAAACAACUGCAUUUUGGAUUGUAAGCCCUUCAAGGUCACCAACUUUAAAAGAGAGAGAGAGAGAGAAUCAUUAAAAUUGCCUCCUGUUAAAACUUAGAGGAUGUUCAGAGAAACUUCAAACUCCCAUCUACUACAUCACGUCAUGAGCCAUCAGCCAUCA